rnacentral:rRNA from 1 species
UCGGCCUACGGGAGGCAGCAGUAGGGAAUUUUCGUCAAUGGGCGCAAGCCUGAACGAGCAAUGCCGCGUGAACGAGGAAGGUCUUCGGAUCGUAAAGUUCUGUUGAAGGGGAAAAAGAGCGGUGAGAGGCAAUGUUCUCCGAUUGCUAUUACCCUUCGAGGAAGUCACGGCUAACUACGUGCCCGCAGCCGCGGUAAUACGUAGGUGGCGAGCGUUAUCCGGAAUGUUUGGGCGUAA